rnacentral:rRNA from 1 species
UACGGGGGGGGCAAGCGUUGUUCGGAAUUACUGGGCGUAAAGGGCUGGUAGGCGGCCAACUAAGUCGGAUGUGAAAUCCCCAGGCUUAACCUGGGAACUGCAUCCGAUACUGGUUGGCUUGAAUCCGGGAGAGGGAUGCAGAAUUCCAGGUGUAGCGGUGAAAUGCGUAGAUAUCUGGAGGAACACCGGUGGCGAAGGCGGCGUCCUGGACCAACACUGACACUGAGGAGCGAAAGCCAGGGGAGCAAACGGG